GGGGGUUUAGCUCAGUUGGUAGAGCGUUAGAUUUGCAUUCUAAAGGUCAGCGGUUCGAUCCCGCUAACCUCCACCA
rnacentral:tRNA from 1 species